UGUAUCUAGAUCAAAGUUGUUAUAGGCUAGAUUAAUGUGUAAACUUUUACCUACAACACUGACAGUUGAACAACACUGUUAAGUAAAUUGAUAAAUGUACGUGAUGAAAUAGAAAAGCUCAUAACAGAGUUCAGCUGUCAGUGUUGUAGGUGAAAGCAUACACAUUAAUCUAGCCUAUAACAACUUUGAUCUAGAUACCUUUUGAAUACAGCUGUCAUUAUUUUCCAAUGUGGCAGUGGGUGUUAGCCUAAAUCUUAUAUACAGUAGCCUACCAGAAGCUUGGACACAUUCAAGAGUUGUGGAAAAGGUUCCCCUUCUAGUAUAGACAUUAAUUGUUCGGAUGCCCUCUACUGAGUUGAUAUUGCUAUUACAAAGGUGUGGGGAGGAUAGUUAAAGCGGACAGUGAAGUCACGUUACCUCAGACCUCAAGAAAGGACGUCGCUCUACAUAUUAAGUUGAAGCAUUGAGUGCGCAUUCGUAGAGCAGGCAUAUGUAAUUAACAGAAGGAUCCUUUAACAGUUGGGAACAUACCAGUUCUGAUCAACCAUGAACAGGUAGGCUCUCUUUGACUUUUUGCUAACAUUAAUGAUAGAAGAACAUCUGCUAGCUGGGGGAGUUAUGCAAACUUUUUUGUGCAAGGACACCAUUUGUUCUCCAGAAUAUUCUGUGGGGGUUGGGGGUGAAAUGUCCGCCAAUUCACGUUUUAUUGACAUCCCAACUAUGUUAAUUUCAGCCCACAAUGAUGAAUUGUACCAAUUUGCCUUUCUUUCUACUGGUUAUCUAAAUCAGCGGUUAACUGAUUACCCACAAACCUACAGCAAAGUAACCCCUUUUGUUAGCCCUCUUAGCAAGCUAGCCCCUCAUCAAGUGGUAGCCCUCUUAGCAAGCUAGCCCCUCAUCAAGUGGUAGCCCUCUUAGCAAGCUAGCCCCUCAUCAAGUGGUAGACCUCUUAGCAAAGUAGCUAACUAAGGAAAUGAAAAAUACAACAAAAAGUUCCUUUACCAAAACAUUGUUUCCAGUUCUUUCCUAUAUGGACAGCCGGUCACCAUUUUAUAAAGCGUUAAUUUUCACUGCCAGUUACAACAUAAUUGCUGUUGGGUGAAAUCCAAGCAUCUCCAUUUUUACCCAUUUUUAUUUCUU
ensembl:lncRNA